rnacentral:rRNA from 1 species
GCGCAACCCUUGUCCUUAGUUACCAGCACGUUAUGGUGGGCACUCUAAGGAGACUGCCGGUGACAAACCGAGGAAGGUGGGGAGUGACGUCAAGUCAUCAUGGCCCUUACGGCCUGGGCUACACACGUGCUACAAUGGUCGGUACAAAGGGUUGCCAAGCCGCGAGGUGGAGCUAAUCCCAUAAAACCGAUCGUAGUCCGGAUCGCAGUCUGCAACUCGACUGCGUGAAGUCGGAAUCGCUAGUAAUCGUGAAUCAGAAUGUCACGGUGAAUACGUUCCCGGGCCUU